rnacentral:rRNA from 1 species
CGAACGAGAAAGUCACUUCGGUGGCGAGUACAGUGGCGCACGGGUGAGUAACGCGUAGAUGAUCUACCCUUCAGUCUGGGACAACUCUUGGAAACGAGAGCUAAUACCGGAUAAAACCUUCGGGUUGAAAGAUUUAUCGCUGGGGGAUGAGUCUGCGUACCAUUAGCUUGUUGGUGGGGUAACGGCCUACCAAGGCGACGAUGGUUAGCGGGUCUGAGAGGACGAUCCGCCACACUGGAACUGAGACACGGUCCAGACUCCUACGGGAGGCAGCAGUAGGGAAUAUUGCGCAAUGGGGGCAACCCUGACGCAGCAAUGCCGCGUGAGUGAAGAAGGCCUUCGGGUCGUAAAGCUCUUUUAUGGGGGAAGAUGAUGACGGUACCCCAUGAAUAAGCACCGGCUAACUACGUGCCAGCAGCCGCGGUAAUACGUAGGGUGCGAGCGUUGUUCGGAAUUACUGGGCGUAAAGGGCGUGCAGGCGGAUUGGCAAGCCGGAGGUGAAAGCCCGGGGCUCAACCCCGGAGGGUCUUUCGGAACUGCCAGUCUUGAGAGGGUCAGGGGCCAGCGGAAUUCCUGGUGUAGAGGUGAAAUUCGUAGAGAUCAGGAGGAACACCGGCGGCGAAAGCGGCUGGCUGGGGCCACUCUGACGCUGAGGCGCGAAAGCGUGGGGAGCAAACAGGAUUAGAUACCC